UACGAAGGGGGCUAGCGUUGCUCGGAAUCACUGGGCGUAAAGCGCACGUAGGCGGAUUGUUAAGUCAGGGGUGAAAUCCUGGAGCUCAACUCCAGAAUUGCCUUUGAUACUGGCGAUCUUGAGUCCGGGAGAGGUGAGUGGAACUGCGAGUGUAGAGGUGAAAUUCGUAGAUAUUCGCAAGAACACCAGUGGCGAAGGCGGCUCACUGGCCCGGUACUGACGCUGAGGUGCGAAAGCGUGGGGAGCAAACAGG
rnacentral:rRNA from 1 species